UAACGUCACAAAGAGCUUUUGAUGUUGCAGGUACUGCAUCAGGAACUGAUCGGAUAAGUAUCUGUCACCAUCAGUUCCUAAUGCACUGCCUUCAGCAUCUAACUGA
rnacentral:pre_miRNA from 15 species